CAAAGUCCAGCUAAGCUAGAGUUCCCACAAUCCCUUGGGGCCCAUGUCCUUGUCUUUCUUUCCCUCCCCAAAAAGCCUGGCACAGGGCUCAGCCUCCGCCUCCCCCUGCAGAGCAGAGCUGGGUGGACUGAUUUGUGAGGUUUCGCCCAGCUCAGCUGCCAGCCUCACCCUUGCAUCCCUCUAGUUUGCUAUUCUUGGCUCAAUUAUUGUCAUGCAAAUGGACGCCUUCCCAUGCCACCUUCCUGUCUCAUUAUGAUCUUUGUCUCAGGACUUCGGCCCCGGAAUUUCAAUGCCUCCUAGACCAAGCUGGGCACCGGAGUCUCAUGCAUCACUUAACUGGCCCUAACCUGCUUUGCCUCUGCAAGUGACCUUGAACUUCCGGUUCUUCUGCCGCUGCCUCCUGGGAAUAUAGACCUGCACCAAUGCGUGAGAAUUCAUACAGGAUCCCGUGGAAUGUUCUGGGGCCAUGGACAAUAGGAUAAAAUAGUUCAAACAUUCUGACCCAGAAAUUCUACUUGGCAAGCUAUUCCAUUGGGGGAGGAAAAGGCUUUUGUAUGAAGACAUGCAUAUCUGAGCUCUUAUAAUAUUAAAAAAUAAUGGAAGCGAUCCAGCAUCAGGGAAUAGCUAAGCAAACGCUGACAUGUUGAUACAAUGUGACGAUUCCGAGUGGAAGGCAUGAGGACCCUGCUUUGUAGAAAUGCAGAUAGGAAAUUGAUACAGAGACACAGAACACAAAUGACACGCGGCUUACAGCCGUGACUUCUGUACAUGCUGAUCAAAGAUAUAAGAAGAAAUUGGUGGUGAGAUACCAACAGUAAAAAUGGACAAUGGCAAGUAUGAGCAAAGAUGGCCGCCUCCCUCACUGGACAGCAAAAGUGGAAAUCUCAUCGUUAACAGACACCAGGAGAGCUGGCUCUGUGUAAGCCAGGCAGGCUUUGGCUGGAGGACCAGUAUGCAUGGGGCCCCUAAAGCACCAUCAUGAAUUGAAAUAAGUGCCGGAGAAAUUUGCCAAAGAGAUUACCUCCUGGAAAUCACUGCACUUGUUUAAAAGAAGCCCAUGCUGAUAGGGUGCAGGUAUAGGCUGUGACCUCAGGGUUAAUUGUCUUUAGCUAAGAUAGGGUCCUGCUUCCUGGGUGUGUUUGGAAGAAUAGGAUGUAUAAUGGCUCACCAUCCCAAAUGGCGCAGAACACCUGAGAAUCACAGUCUAGCACUCAUCGUCCUGUCCCUACCCCUACACACCUCCCGGUGUAGUGCCUAACCUCUCUAAAUAAAGUGUUGAGCAAAUGUUUAAAGAAAA